CACGCCGGCCCCGGGCGGGCGCGAUCCGAGCUGGACGAGGAGCCGGGCGGACGCGCCGACAGGCCGGGCGGACGCGGGCGGCGCGAUCUGCCACACUUCUGCCUGCUGUUGGCAACCCUCCUGGGCUAGGCUGCUCAUUAAUCACAUGGAUGUUGUGAGUAUUAUGUUAACAAGUGAGUGUAGAGAUGAUAUUUUGAUCCUUACCACGUGAGCUACUCAU
rnacentral:lncRNA from 1 species